UACAGAGGGGGCAAGCGUUGUUCGGAAUUACUGGGCGUAAAGGGCGCGUAGGCGGCCUUCUAAGUCGAACGUGAAAUCCCCGGGCUCAACCCGGGAACUGCGUCCGAUACUGGAAGGCUUGAAUCCGGGAGAGGGAUGUGGAAUUCCAGGUGUAGCGGUGAAAUGCGUAGAUAUCUGGAGGAACACCGGUGGCGAAGGCGACAUCCUGGGACCGGUAUUGACGCUGAGGCGCGGAAAGCCAGGGGAGCAAAGCGGG
rnacentral:rRNA from 1 species